UUAGCUGGUAGAAGUGGUGUGCGGAAGAAACUGAUCAGUGGCUGGAGAGAGAGUGAGCUGGGCUAUGGAGUCAAGGGAAGUGAUGAGGGCAGUGAAAUGAGAGCAUCACACAGGAAGAUAGUAAGCUUUCCUAAAGAGGUGUGUUUUCAGGUACUUUUUAAAAGACUGGGGGCUAGGGGAGAACUUGAUGGCACAGGGUAGCAAGGGAUGUCCUUGAAAAAUCUUGCAGAUGGGAAUUUGCAAUUCGGGAACAAGCUGAUGUAAUGAGAAGGUCAUUUGCAGAGCAAAGGGAGUGAAAAAGGUAAUAUUUGUUGAGUAAACAAAAAUAAAAUUAAAAGCAGAAGCAGCUGCCUAGAGGCCAGUAUAAAUAAGGAACAGUAUGAGCCGAGAAGCCAGUAUAAGUAAGAUACCCAGGCUCUUG